ensembl:lncRNA
GGUAGACUGAGGAUCGGGCUGGGAAACUCUGAUUGCUGCCGGUCCAGGCGUAGGCCUGCUGAGUGCUGUGUGGUUCUCUCUCUCACACAGAGAAAAGUGGAUGUCUUUGCAACACGGACUGCAGAGAUAACCGGCCACAGCCGCUAUGCCCAGAUAUGUCUGAGCAUACCUGGAACAAGUUAUGUUUUUAGGGGGAAAAAAGAACAGGAGGGAAUCAGUUAUUCUGUGGCUCCGGAGCAUAUAGCGGUAUGGGAGAGAGGCCGGUGAGUAGACCUGUUACCAACAUGAAGAUCCAGAGGUGGGGGCAGUAAGGAGAGUUUCAUGAGAAUGAACCGCGCUGGACUGAGUCCCCUGUCUGCACUGCACUUCAGGUCAUCAACUCAAUACCCAGGGGCAACUGCUGAACCCCCAUUUGAAAUUUUCUUAAGGUGUGCGAUAAAGAGACAUACUAGGACAUGCGGUUGCUAAGACUCACAACCACCCUCACCACCCCCACACCUGCCCAACACCCACCCAUCCUCUCUUCUUUUGGAACUUGGCUCGGAGGACAGGCCCUAAUUUUUGUGUUUUACAGCAGUGAGCACACUCACUCACGCUCCCCCAUCCCUUUUCCUGGAUUCAUGUUUUGUGCAACUGCUGCAGUGGCUGUCUGAACAGGUUUGAGGGAUGGUGGGGUGGGGUUAGGGUCGGGGGAGAGGGGCGGCAAGUCUGGGUCCUUCUCCGCAGCUCUCCUCCAGCGUCUUCCAGCGUCUGGUCGUCUUCUUAUUCCAGCGGGUCUCAGCCCCCUCUAAAACCCAUACAUAUUAAUGGGACUGAUAAACACAUGGCGCAGACGCAGUGGAGCAGUCCACUGCCACCACGGGCUGGGGAGCUCUGUGCCUCUCUGUUUGUAUUUUUCCCCAUUUGUAUUUCAUUCCCACCAUCAUUCCUUCCUGUCCUCUGCCGCACUCUCCAGCUCUUGUUUCUAGUGGAUUCUCAGUUCCUGUUCACAUUUUCCAGUCUGCAGAGAUGGUAAGGGUACUGAGGUGUGAGGCUUAAGUUAAAUCACAGAUACCGUCAUUAGAAAGUCACUUGUAAAUCGAAAGUCUUCAUUUCCCAAACACUUCAUGGAGUUCAAGUUCAAGAUCUUAAGUCUGCCUCUUUUUGUGCACUUACUUAUCAAGGGAAAUGCUGUUAAGUAGAUGGUUGAUUAAUUUUGUUUUUGAUGAUUGCUAGUAUAUCUUAUAAUUUAAGUUUUUAAAGCUGUUAAAAAAGAAACACUGCAUAUGAAGGUUAUACCAAGUUAACUUAGUCCAUAUGGCAUACAGGUUGAUGUAUCAGUAAACAAAAACUGAAAACUCGCUAACACUCCAGUGACUCAGUCACAGACGUCUGUGUCCGGCCUCUAGACUACUGAGGGGGACAAGGCCUAACUUUUUUUUUUCUGAAACCCAAAACAUGAAAGUCAGCAUCAAGCUGUGUUGUAAAAAAAGGCACUAGCUGCAUUCUUUGUUGUCUGAAAUGUAACAAUGUUUU